CGUUUUAUAUAGGAGUUCCAGUCUAGCUCCAAGGAAUGAAAAGAAAAACCCUAAACCCUCUCUAUUUCGUUUUCUUCCCCUGCCGUUGAAAGCCGCCGCUCCCUCUCCGCCGCUCCUCGUUUUACGCCGACGGUAACAGGCUGGGCUUUGGGUUUUUGAGUCCUUCUCUCCCUCUCCUGUUUUCUCACUCUCUUUGUUGGGUUUUUGGCCUUUGUUCUUCGUUGUUGAAUUUUCCUUCUGCAUUUGUCUUUCCUACGUUUUCAUGGAGAAUUUCUGUGCGCAGCCCUUAAGAUCGCCUUCCUCAGUGUGAAAUGGAAGCGUUUCGAGUCAUAGCUGCGCUACAGCGAAUGCUCUUUUCGGAAAAUUCCAUUAGGGUUCUCCUUCUGGAAUUCUCUCUAUUUCCCAUUUGAACUUGUUAUUGAGGCAUUUGUUCUCCGCCUUUGGAUCUCCUACUGAAACCCUAACGUCUUAGCUUUUCUGCUGUUUCGUUAGUUAAGUUUCAGUUAUUUGGAGUUUCAGAUCCGUAUGGAUGUUGCGUAUGUCUCACUAUAAGAUUGUUGAUCUCAUCCAUUUUUAUUGUUUGGGAAGUCCAAUAUGAAGCCAAGUGAGCCUAUUUGGGAUGUCACAUUCUGCGCUAAGUCUAUUGUGGUACUAUCUUUUCCAAAAAAAAUGGAUUGCUAAUUGUUCAAAGAAUGUAAUUAUUUUUUUUCUAAGUCCUUUUGCAGUUGGAUCACUCUGCGAAAACAAAUAUAAAUUUAUUUUAAUAGAAUUUAACUAUGGUAAUAUUACAUUAGCAAUGAAAAGUUUUACAUUUAUAUUUACCCAUGCAUCAGAUAUAUUUUUUUCUACUACCAUGCACUUCUCUUUACCAUUUCAUCUACUUCAAUAGUGUAACUCUAGAUUCUAUGGGUGGUUGAGCCUUAAGGUUAUACUCAUGGAUUUUUUUAAUCAUCCAUUUAUCUGUCUCAGUAAGAUAUCUUGGUUUGACAGUAUCAUUAUUGGCCUUCUAGGUAUCAAUAUUAGAUAACUUCAAUAAAUAUUCUACUAA